GUAACAUCAAAUCCCUGGGAAAUCUAUUGAAUUAACCAUGUGAAGGAGGCCCUUAAAAUCUGUCAGAUUAGACUUGGCCCAAUAUGUUAGAGCUAUGUUAGACAAAAAAAAAAAAGUAUAAUACAUAGCAAUGUAUUGCCGGUUAGCGGUACUACAACAAUAAAAAGAAAUGGAAAAUUCAUACAAAUCAAGGUCAAGAAUUACAGUGCGCCCCAAUGACGAUAGACAAAGCCAAGGUCAAGGGUUACAGAAGUUAGCGUAGUCAAGACAAGCCAAAAAUCGGUAAACAAGGAAUCAAACUCGAGAAGGGCUUGAGUUAGCAGGUGUAUGGCUG